UCGUUGUCGAGCCACUUAGCGGAGAAAGGGGGAGGGAGGCGGAGGGAUAUCCGCCCUGCACGGUGCUCGGUGUGCGUGCGCGCGCUCCAAACUCUUGGCACGCCGCGAAAGGGGGCGGGGGUGGGAGCUGCGAGGGGAGCUGCUAGGGAGGUUGCAUUGUUGUGGCGCGUUACUCCCCGUUACUCUGCUUGGAAUAUCCGGGUUGCUUGAACGAAGAGGCUAGAAAGACAGUGUGCUCAGAGGGGAAAUCUGGAGGCCACUCUCUUCUGCCGUGUGUGUGUGUGUAUGUAUGUUUUCCUUGCAGAGCAAAGAAUGGAACUGGCAUGAGUUCAUCUUUAGUUAGUGGGGGUUAGAAGCAGGGACCGUGCAAAGAGAGCUCCUCCUGCUGUCCCCCUGGUUGCACUGCUGCAGUCCCCUAGCUGCAUGCACGACGUGUGUGUGUGUGUGAGAGAGAGAGAGGGAGAGAGAGAAUAUGAGAAUGUAUGUGUGUUAGUUUUAACACCUCGCCUCGCUGCCUGGAUUCUUACUGCGCAAGGGGUAUGCUGUCAGGGCAUUCAUCUCCGAAAGCUGGAGUGAUUGUUAAUGGAGAACGACUUCCAUUGAAGCCCAAGAUUUAUGCGACCUAAGAAUGAAGGUUGCCGCUGGUGCCACAUUAAAGAGAACAAUUCCCGAGGAAAAAAAGAAGUUGGGAGAACCUCGUUAACAAGGCAGCACUCCUCUUCUACCAUCCCUCUCCAGGAAUCGCAGGAUUGUUGUUCUGAGAAUGAGCGUGCACAGUAGAGCACUGUUAACAGUGUUUUGCAUGUAGCAGGUGCUUAAUAAAUGUUUGACGAAUGAA